ACUCUUGUAAUUUAUAUAGAAUAUUACAUUGAAGAUGUGAAAGGGGCUGUUGAGCCCGAGGGUG
rnacentral:tRNA from 1 species